UACGUAGGGUGCAAGCGUUGUCCGGAAUUAUUGGGCGUAAAGCGCGUGUAGGCGGCUCUGCAAGUCGGAUGUGAAAUCCCACGGCUCAACCAUGGAAGUGCAUUCGAAACUGCAGGGCUAGAGUCCUGGAGAGGAAGGUGGAAUGCUUGGUGUAGAGGUGAAAUUCGUAGAUAUCAAGCGGAACACCGGUGGCGAAGGCGGCCUUCUGGACAGUGACUGUCGCUGAGACGCGAAAGCGUGGGGAGCAAACAGG
rnacentral:rRNA from 1 species